CCCUUUCACAUAUUUUGGUUAUAUUUAUUUUACAUACCAAGCAGGCGAUUUCUAAAGUUGAAAACUAUUUUUCCUUCCAUCCAAAUAUUAAUUAAAGUUAAACUUUCUGUUUGCCGAAAAAAAAUACGAAAAAAAUCCUUUAGGGUUGAGAAGUGCAGGAUACCAGGAUACCGGCUUCUGCUCCUCCUCCAUGUUACCCUUGGUGUUCACGGUUGUGUAAAGCCCCCCAGAAUCGGCGAUGACCGCCUGACUGCUUUCCGGUCCUCAACUAUUUUUGUGCAAUGAAGCGUUGGGCUUUUAUAACGCCAACAGUCAGCUAAGAGACUUCAUGAUGAGCGGCUGCAGGGGGAAAGCGUCAGUCAGUCAUUGAGAGGCUG